GUGCCCCUGGGGCCACGUGACGGAAGGCCCCGCCCCCGCGCGUGGGUGACGUCACCGCCCGCGCCUGGCGCGGCGCUGGCGAAGACUGCGGCGUUCGCGAAGCUCGCGGCUCGGCGGCGGCCCUGAGGGUCCGUGACGGGCGGCUUGGGUUUUUUUCUCGUUGUAAAACCCCCUCGAUGAGGACAAGCGGGCGCCGAGAUCUGCAGGCGAGGCGCACAAACCGAGUUUGGACCCCCGUGCUCGCGAGCGGUCAGCGCCCGAGACCUUCCACUGCUCACGCCGCCUGCUCCCGACCCUUGACAGCGUCAGAGACAGAGCAUCCUGUAUCUUUGUUUGCUAAAAUCGGCAACCCCAGCCUGUGAACAAAUCCUACCUUUGGAUUUCUCAUCUGUGAAAUGAACACGAGCUCCAUGAAGGGAGGGAUGUUUUGUUGUUCCCCGCCUGCUGUGCCCCAGCACCUAGAAGGAUAUCUGGCCCUGGAUGACUACUCAGUUGUCGACUGAGUGAGCAUAAAAGAUAAGUUGUCUCCUGCUAUAAAAACUAGUUUAUACGCUAAGUUUAGUGAUCCUACCUCGUCUCCCCCGGUUCUUUUAUUCCUUUCAAUGUGUUUCCCCCUGCAUUUUAUCAUUGUUUCUGUGAAUUAAAUAUAUGCCCCCUUCCUAGCCACCUUCACCAGGGUGAACACAGUAGCCAUCCUUCUAACUCAAAAGAAAUACUUUAGACAUUUGGGGGAUGCCUGGGUGGCUCAGUGGGUUGGGCCUCUGCCUUCGGCUUGGGUCAUGAUCUCU